UACAGAGGUGGCAAGCGUUGUUCGGAAUUACUGGGCGUAAAGGGCGCGUAGGCGGUCUUUCAAGUCCCGUGUGAAAUCCCUCGGCUCAACUGAGGAACUGCACGGGAAACUGUCUGGCUUGAGUUCGGGAGAGGGAAGCGGAAUUCCGGGUGUAGCGGUGAAAUGCGUAGAUAUCCGGAGGAACACCGGUGGCGAAGGCGGCCUGCUGGGCAGUUUGGCUGACACUGAGGCGCGACAGCGUGGGGAGCAAACAGG
rnacentral:rRNA from 1 species